rnacentral:rRNA from 1 species
GACGAACGCUGGCGGCGUGCUUAACACAUGCAAGUCGAACGGAAAGGCCCUGCUUUUGUGGGGUGCUCGAGUGGCGAACGGGUGAGUAACACGUGAGUAACCUGCCCUUGACUUUGGGAUAACUUCAGGAAACUGGGGCUAAUACCGGAUAGGAGCUCCUGCUGCAUGGUGGGGGUGGGAAAGUUUCGGCGGUUGGGGAUGGACGCGCGGCUGAUCAGCUUGUUGGUGGGGUAGUGGCUUACCCAGGCUUUGACGGGUCGCCCGCCUGAGAGGGUGACCGGCCACCUGGGGACUGAGAUACGGCCCAGACUCCUACGUGAGGCAGUAGUGGGGAAUAUUGCACAAUGGGACGAAGCCUGAUGCAGAAACGCCGCGUGCGGGAUGACGGCCUUCGGGUUGUAAACCGCUUUCGCCUGUGACGAAGCGUGAGUGACGGUAAUGGGUAAAGAAGCACCGGCUAACUACGUG